UUCGAUGAUUCCAAGAUUUCGCAAAUCAUGAGAGGAGUUGGUUGGGUUUGAAGAUUUUUCAAGGCAAUUUACAGAAAAUCGAAGGAUUGGUCUAUUGUAUCUGUUAACCCUCAAAAGAUUGAGGAAACGGCAGAGUAAUUGUCAGACGCGGGGAGGAGGAGGACAAUUGGUUCAUUGUAGUGUUUUUCUAUUACGAAUUCAAGCAUGCUACAGAUGAGAGAAUCCGACUUGAAGAAAUGCGUCACAAGGUUCUUUCUGGUGAUUGAAGUCAAUAAACUAUCUGGAUAAAGAAAAAAAAUUGAUAUGAUGGAAAUUCUGCUGAGAGGGGGAAGUGAAUGGUGGAGAGACAAGAGAGGCAGAGACCUCUCUUGAUUUAUUUGUAACUUUAUCCGAGUGCAGAAGUUUCAAUUGUAGGUUUUACCUAAAAAGGCCUCCCAGCUACUGUGGAAUUGUGCUGAUCACAUAAAGCAUUGGGGAUGGAUAUGCAACAUUUUCAGUCAAGAUUCUAGAUCAUUUGGUAAGUAAUUUUUUUUCUCCAUAUGCUUAUCCUUUUUCCUCCCCCUUUUCUAGCACUCAUACGCACAUCUACAUGUAUGCAUGCAUGACCCAUAUAUGCACACUCACACAAACACCUCAGGGCAUUAAUAUUAAGCAAAAACAUGCACACACACAGCAGACCAGAAGACACACGUUUGUACUUGCAUACAUAGGACACACCUCAUAUAGAAGACCUAUAAAUCACACCUCAUACAGAAGACAUACAAAAAAUGAAUCAAUUUCCAAGUAAUUUAUAUAGGAAAGAUUUAUGCUUGGAACAUUUGAUUAAACACAUUUAGAAAACCGCGGGCCACACACUAGUGUUUAGAUUAUAAAAGGUCCUUUCUGACAAAUUUUCCUUAUUUAUUUGUAUUCUAUUAUAUUGUAUGGGAUGUCUAGCAUACUUUGAGCCAAUUAUUCGUACUUCGUUGUACUAUUUAUUUUACCACAUGUGAAGGGUUAGCUCACAUAAGCCACCGCACAUGUAGGGUUCAGUUGGGAAUAUUUUGUAUGAAAUGGAUUAGGAUUUGUCGUGCAAGGGCACAACUCUCAUGUUAAUUGGCAUGAUGUGGAAUCUCACUUUCGUGAGGAGGAACAUGGUAAUAAUUUCACAAGUGUCUUGCUUGGUUGAUCACAAGUCUUAAAGAAAAAAUAAGAUUGUUUUGGUUGUCAUUUAUUAAUUGUAUGUGUGUACGUUAUUGAGUCUUGAGUUAACCUUUAAUAAAAUAUUAAUAAACGUAAAGUGCAACCAGAACAAGCUUCAAAACUCUUGGAACGUAUAUACCUUGAGUAUGAACAAUGGGGGGAGUCUUGCCGGAAAGCUCGUACUCCUACUAAUGAUACAAGACGUUGUUUCAUUCAUAUUAUGCGCAGGAAUUCCGUCGGUAUGGCCCGACACUCGGUAUGGCCCGAUUUUAUUAUUUAUUAUUUUGGUGUAUGGUUGGAUCCCAUCACCUUUCCUUUAUGGAACAUUCUUUUGGCCCGUUCGAAGCUUAUUCUAAUUAAAUUGUGAGUCAAGAGUCGAGUCAAGAGUCGAAUCUUGUAUUCAUGAUUUGUUUGUUAAUUAUUAUAUGGCUUUUGCAUGUUGAUUAGUACUUAGUGAGUGAUGCAUGUUUUUAGUUUUAUUUCACUCUAUUCUUGUAAGUACUCAGCUUUUGCUGACUACGUGCUUUGUGUUUCUUUGGUCAUGACCCUAUGAUGAUUAUCAUUUGCACUUGCAUUGAUGGGGAGUAGAAUAAUAUAGCAGGUUGGUAGAUCGAAAUCAUGUGGCUUGGGAUGAUCGAGAGAGUUGCAUGCUUUCGUAUUUUGAACUAUUUAUUUAUACUUUAAUUAUGUUUGAAAUUGUUGAACUUUUUAUACUUUGGUUUUUGGGCCGUCAUGGUUGCAAAUUGUAGGAGGCCUCGAUAUUUCAUUUAUUAUGUUUUUAAAAGUUAGUUGACAUUAAAUUCCGCUGCGUAAUUCUGGUACUAGCCUUAACCGUUAUCACGGUGGCGGUAAUACUUUAGUAAUUCCUUUAUUUUAAGUUGGAAAAUGGUUUUACAAAAGCAAGGAAUUAUUAGGGUGUUACACUUGGGGAUAUUUGGCAUGCUUUGUGCUUUGUUACUAUAUAGUUGUCCCUUCGAGUAGAAGUGCUAUAACCCAUAAUAUUGCUCCACCCCUCCCAUUUUUUAAGCAAAUGCUCACAAGGACUAGAAGCCAAGCAAGAGCUCCAUGGCACCAUUUCCCUUAAAGUUAUCAAGUUUCCUGUGGGUGAUCUUUUGAAAACAUCUGUAGAAGUCUUAGAUAAAUUAGGGUAAUGUUAUGCACUAUUGUAUAACGAGUGCCGAUGGUUGUUUCAGGCUUUUAACAACAUUUUCUUGUAGCUUUUGAUAAAUUCAACUGAUUUGUCGUGCUCCUAAACGUUGAUUUGUAAUACGGCAAUAUAUUGCAGGCAGUAUG